AAUAAAUUUAUAACAAAAACAUAUGAAAAACAAAAUUAAUAUAAUUAAUAAGCCAAAUUCAAUAUUCUAUGAUGACUGUGAUUUGGAAAAAGUAAGAAUAUUAGAUGAUAAUAAAAAUAAAGCAGGUGUAUACUGUUGAAUAAAUAAUAUUAACUAUAAAUUAUAUGUAGGUAGCUCUAUUAAUUUAAGAACUAGAUUUUAUAAAUAUUAUAGUCUUAAACAUUUAAGUGAAAAUAGGACUCUUAUUUAUAAUGCACUCUUAAAGUAUGGAUAUGGUAAUUUUUCAUUGGUAAUAUUAGAAUAUACCGGAGAAGAUACAAAUCCUAUAGAAAGAGAGCAACAUUAUUUAGACUUAUUGAAACCAGAAUACAACAUAUUAGAAAUAGCAGGUUCUAGUUUAGGUUAUAAACAUACAGAAGAAACUCUAAAGUAUUUUAGAGAAGAUCGAAUAAUUACAGAUGAAACUCGUGAAAACUUAAGUAUUGCAGCUAAAGAAAGAAUACUUCCGCAAGAAGUUAGAGAUAAAAUCUCUGAUAAACGUAAAGGUAUAAAACUUUCGGAGGCAACUCGUGCAAAGAUAUCAGAAUCAGCUAUAAUUUUAAGAGGAGUAAAAGUAAAUAUAACUAAUGUUGAAACAAAUGAAGUAUUGUCGUUUGACAAUAUGACUACUGCAGCUAAACAUAUAGGUGUAAGUAGACCAGCCGUGGCCAAGGCUUUAAAUAAAGGUAGCCUUAUUAAAGGUGUUUUUAAAAUCAAUUAAUAAUUGAUUAUAUUGUAUUUAUUAUUUGCUAAAUGGAUGAUUAAGUCUUUGUAGGGACUUAAUUGUUUAGGGAGAAGGACUUCAGCUUUAUCUAAUUAGAUAGAAGAAGUAGAUUUGUUUCUGCGAAACCUAUAAUAGUAGGCAAUUUAAGUAUAAUAUCUUAGCAGGUACAGAAUUUAAUCUCAGACAAGACAUUAAAUGUUUUAUUUUGUACAAAUGGGGGGAUCAUGAAGAUUUUAUCCGUGAGUAUGCAGACUCGGAAUGGCAAAGAUAUAUCUUAAAUUAUCAGACAUAGAAUGAUAAGGUUGUAUGUCAAAAGGGAAACAGCCCAGAACAAGAGUUAAGGUUCCUAAAUUAUUCGUUGAGUGAAAUUAAGAAGGUUUUUAUUAAAGUCGACAAGGAGAUAGGCUUAGAAGCAGCCAUAAUUUUAUGACCUCGUAACAGAGCGCUUGUUAAGGUUUAAAAGCAUCGAAAAUUUAUCGGAUCUAAACAAUAUACCGAAACCUUGUCCAUAAUAAUUUAUAAUAAUAAUUUAUAUUAUAAUUAAAUGGGGUAGCAGAACGUUGAGCUGAAUUAUGAUUUUUAUUUUUUAAAUAAAAUUAUAACAAUUUAACUCAAGUGAUAAUGGUGACAUGAGUAACUAAAAGAAAAUUUUCCGCCUAAAGCUUAUGGAUAUAAUUAAGUAACGGCCUCUAAGUUUAUAUUAUCUAAAGAUUUAAACGAUGAGAUAAUCUUUAUUACUAAGGACGACAUUUUAAGUGAAAAAUGUACUGGAAAAAUAGUAAUAUAUUUAUAUACGUACGUGUAUAUAAAUGAAAAGUAACCGUACCUAGAAUCUGAAACAAGUAAGCUAGUAGAGAAUACGAAGGCGUAAAUGAGCUAACAAUCAUAAAGGAACUCGGCAAAUUGACUACCGUAACUUCGGGAUAAGGAGAGCUCAUUAUUCUUGAUUAAUAUCAAGUAAAGAGGAAGAAGCAUGAAAUAGUGUUGUACGACUGUUUAAUUAAAACACAGCACUUUGCUGAAAGAUUAAAAAUCUAAGUAUAGAGUGUGAUGUCUGCCCGGUGCCGGCUGGUUAACAGAUAUAAUUGGAUAUACUAAUAUCUGAUGUAGACGGAAACCCCGGUUAAAGGCGGCCUUAACGUGAGGGUCCUAAGGUAGCGAAAUGCCUUGGCCGUUAAAUGCGGUCUUGCAUGAAUGAUGUAACGAUACAACAGCUGUCUCUAUGAUUGACUCAGUGAAAUUGGAAUAGCUGUGCAGAUACAGUUUACCUCUAGUUAGACGAGAAGACCCUAUGCAGCUUUACUGUCACUAAUUAUAGAGUAUGAUAAACAAUUUUCAGUUUAUAAGGUAAUUGACUAGAUAACAAUGAGAAUCCUUUAUUUUUUUUUCAUAUGAAUGAAUUGAUUUAGGAUUAUGAGAUGUUUUUAUAAACGACUCAUUUUAGUAAAUCAACCUAGUUCAGCUUAUUUUUAUAAUAUAAGUACCCUUUGGUGAGGAACUAUCGCUAGGGGACAGUUUAUGUGGGGCACAGACCCUGUAAAGAGUAAACAGGAGUGUCUAAUAAUUUAAAAUUAUUUUGUUUGCGAUUUAAGGUAGUUUAACUAUUUUUAAUCAUAUAAAAUUAUUUAUAUGUACAUUCUAUGCUUUGUCAUAAGUCUGUAUAUAUAUUUAAAAAAAGGUAGGAUUUUCACUAUAUAGAAAUUAGAGAUAAUUAGAGAUAUUAUGUACUUAGUGACUAAUGUUUUUUAACUAUUAUUUAUAGUUAUGUUUUAAAUAUCUAAAAAGCUCAACGGCUUAAUCUUGCCUUACUGUUUGAUUAUCAACAAAUCUUACAGUUGCGUAAGCAGGGCAUAGGAUCACAAGAUGCAACAAGGAAAGAUCUUGGAUUAUUGGAAAAGCUACGCUAGGGAUGUUUGUCCUUUAAUAUUUUAUUUAGGGCUAUGUGUUGCUGCUGCUGUUGCUGCUGCUUAUUUCAUAGCAAGCUAAAGCUACCGCUAAGGCAGCUGUGUAAGUAAACAUGUGGUUUCACAGCAGUGAAAAACAAGAGUGUACUAUUUCUAUAAAAUAUGGCACGUAGUUAUAAAUAGAAUAAU
rnacentral:rRNA from 1 species